GUCAAUGUGGUGUAGUGGUUUAAAUGUUGGACUACAACUCUGAAGACCAGGAUUCGAUUCCCUGCUCAGCA